CAGUGAUUUGAGAGUAUAUAAGGCAAGGCCAUCGUGGCGACGGCAGAGUCUCCUCUUGCACUCGCAUCUGCAACACCUCAAAUAUGGUUUCUCGCGUCAUGUUGGUCGUGCUGGUGGUGGUCGUCCUAGCGGCCGCAGCAGUGGCUCUCCCUGACCCCACCAAACGGCACUUGGGAUACGGCUUGUACGGAGGAUACGGAGGAUACGGCCUCGGAGGAUUUGGCUUGGGAGGCUACGGAGGAUACGGAGGCUAUGGAUCCCACUAUCCCUAUUAUGGAUCCUACUACGGAUAGAUAACGUGAGGCCAAGUGAACAACUUCGUUUCCUGUCUUUCAGCAGGGUCGACGAAGUUUUCAAUGGACACCAGUCCAGAUUUGUAUUUAUCUCUAAUAAAACUUUAACUCUAA